GCCUGGAUGGCUCAGUUGGUUGAACUUCUGACUUUGACUCAGGUCAUGAUCUCAAGGUCUGUGAGUUCGAGCCCCACGUCAGGCU
rnacentral:tRNA from 1 species